CUCGCUUCCUUUUGUUUUCGUGGUAGUUGAAUUCCUAAAAAUUUCAGUAUAUAUUAAAAUGAUAUAAAAUAUACUUUGUUUAUACUUUGUUUAUAUGCAUAUAAUGCAAUAUGUUUCUUGGCUUGGGUUAUUAUUAAGCUCUUCACAACCAUAAGAAAUCCCUAUGAAACAUUAAAAAUUUGAGCAGGCUAUAAUUCUUCAAUGUGUGAGACUGUACAACUCAUUGCAGAUCCAGACUUAUAAACAGUUUUAGGAUGUCUUAAUCAUGGUGACAAUUAAAAAGAAAACCUCCCCUACAGAUUUCUAAAAUGUUCCCUAGGGGGUAAUACUAUUUAUAAAGAGAACCACUGUUCCAUUACACAACCAAGAAAAACGGAAACAUUUUCUGGCUUGGGUAGUAUCUGAAUGGGGAAUUCUCUGUUCCUGCUGCCUUACUUCUUCCCACAGAUGAAUGUUGUGGUGGCAUAAAAAUACAGGAAAGACAUCACCUUCUCUAUGGAGUUUGUCUGCUGUCAGAAACUAUAACAUGUUGAAAACCUGGGGUAUUUUAUCCCUAGAAUUUAUUUCUACCAGAAAGUUACCACUUUAUAUAUUCUGCCAACAAGCUUGCUUGCAAAAGAAGAAGCCACUAUUAUUCCUGAGUCAGUGGCAUGAACACAUGGACUGCAGAGAUAACAGAAGUAAGAUUUGAUGAUUGACUUCCUUGUGUCAAAUUAUGUUCUAAAGUGGCAGUUUCCUGUGAUUCUUAUUCUUACUGAUUUUUUGAACACUAGCAAUGACUUCCCUGAUCUUGCUUUAUCACUCAUCCCAAAGAUUUGGUAACUUUCCAAUCUCUGUAUUACAUCCCUUUCAGUUUGAAAUCUCAAGCAAUUUCUGUUUUUCUAAUCUACUUCUGACCGAUAUGCAGAAUUUCAACAGCUGCCCAAGGUCUCACAGUUAAUCAGAUUUGAAUCCAGAUCUGUCCAGCUUUUGACUAUAUGAAUUGGUGAGUUCUGUAUCUUUCUUCAGACCAUUGUGGGUUGUUUUACAUUCAUAAAUGGUGAGUAGCAUGUUUGGAGUUCUGUAGGGGGAAGAGACUAUACCUCUAUAUCUAAAUCUAAUCUAUGUAGUACUCAUAUCACUUUGUGUUUCCUUAGACUGAUUUGGAGAAUUCUGAGGCAAAUUAAAAUAUAUAGUUACAAGGAAACAAGAAAGAACUAUCUGAAGAUUUGAAUUACUCCUUUUGUUAUUUUUCAUAGCCAUGGGUUAAAGAGGGAGGAUAGUAGAGAUUAGCAAGAGGGAAAACAAGAGAUUUGUGAUUUGGAGUGACACAACUAUUGAUCCAGUUAUAGCCACCCAUCCCUGCAUUUGUAUGUUUGGGAGAGUAUUUUUGAAAAUAUUAAAUUCUAGUCAUUGUCAAUAUUUGUAGUAUAAUGUAAAUAUUAUCUAGAAGGGGCUGAUUUGUGUAAAAUAUUUAGUUUGAUUCAGGGAGAAUAAAUAACAAAUCACAUCAUUGUUGCUACCAUUCAUCUUAUCAAAGUUAACAAUUAAAUUUAGAAACAUGCUCAUUCAUACAUUAUUGACAUUUCAGACAAUAUAUUUUAUUUUCUUAUAAAUAACUAGCUCUGCAACAAUGUUUUACUUUUCUAUUCAUCAGCUUGUUUUUAAAAUUUUUUGAAAGGACAGAGAAUGAAAGUUGAAUUAACAAUGAAGCAAUUAAUUUAAUUGCAAAAGAAAUGACUAGGCAAAACAUAAAGUGUAAAGGACGGAAUCUAGAUAAGUACUUGUGUUGCUAUGGGGACUGGGU
rnacentral:lncRNA from 10 species